rnacentral:lncRNA from 1 species
UGUCCGCCUGCUUCCUUUGCAGUAGCCCGUGAGCAGGGCCAACCCACCCGUGUUCCCUGGGAGGUUAUUCCUGGCUGAACAAGCUUUGCUCCAUGGAACUGAUCUGCUUAAGUGCACUUGCCUUCCUCGCCAUCAUUCCAGCAGGCAGGCUGCAGAGAUAACGUCCGUCUUUGUUCUGAUGUGAGACCCUUGCGUAGGUUGAGGCCGACCAACUAACCAGAACAGAGACCAGCCCAGCGCAGAAACAGAAGGUGGAUAAGGCUCAGUCCAGAAUGCAGCCGGAGCAGAACGACUUCCUGGGGAGGGACAAGCACCUUCCCGGAGCUUCUGAGCAGAGGAAAAUGGAGCCUCUCUUCCCAGAGAAUGAUGUUUGCAGCAAUGCCAAGCAGGUGCUCCUGCCCUCCACCU